rnacentral:rRNA from 1 species
CCUACGGGAGGCAGCAGUGAGGAAUAUUGGUCAAUGGACGGAAGUCUGAACCAGCCAUUCCGCGUGCAGGAAGACGGCUCUAUGAGUUGUAAACUGCUUUUGUACAAGGGUAAACCUGAAUACGUGUAUUCAGCUGAAAGUACUGUACGAAUAAGGAUCGGCUAACUCCGUGCCAGCAGCCGCGGUAAUACGGAGGAUCCAAGCGUUAUCCGGAUUUAGUGGGUUUAAAGGGUGCGUAGGCGGAUUGAUAAGUUAGAGGUGAAAGUUCCGAGCUUAACUCGGGAACUGACUCUAAUACUGUUGAUCUAGAGAGUAGAUGCGGUAGGCGGAAUGUAUGGUGUAGCGGUGAAAUGCUUAGAGAUCAUACAGAACACCGAUUGCGAAGGCAGCUUACCAAUCUAUAUCUGACGUUGAGGCACGAAAGCGUGGGGAGCAAACAGGAUUAGAUACCCGGGUAGUC